AUUCUUAAGCCCUCGAUGCCUCUCUCCCUCGUUCUCUCUCUCUCUCUCUUCAAAUUUCAAAGAAAACAGUUUCCUCCAUUAGCGCCUGCCAACUGCCAAGAAUAUCAUCUCCCUCAAAGAUAAAGGGCUUCAACUUGCUAUCUAACUAAAAGUUCAGGUGAUCAAUAAGAACUAAUUAUAGUUUUUCAAAGAUACUUAAUUUUUAAUAUUGUGCUUCAAUGAAUUAUUUAAUAUUUGAACUGUGAUCUAUUCGUUUCUGGUUCAAUAUUUUCUUAAUCUGCUUGUUUAGUGUUUACCAAUGGUUUGGUCUUAAAAUCUAGUUAGAUUGACUGCUAUUAUAUACUUGUUUUUUGGUGAAUGCAUAAUGAGUUUCCCUUUGCUGGAGUAAAUUUUAGUACAAAAGAUUUGUUUGCUGGAGUAAACCGACUCAAUUUGUUUCCUGGAGUAAACCGACUCAAAAUCUUUAGUGAUUGUUGACUCUCGAAUCUCUGAUUCGUUGAGUCUUAAAGCUCUUUUUUAAUGUCACUCUUUAAGGUUAAACAUAUACAAAAUUAUUCUUCUAAUUUUAAUUCUAAUUUUGUAAUCCAGUUUAUUAACCAAUUAGAAGAGCAACUUCAAUUCUCUAAAAGACAAAGACAAGGAAUACUUUACCGACUGAUUCAAAAGAGAGAAUACCCAUUAGAGAUUAUCAUCCAAAUGAGCGUGAUGAGAUUAGAAGAAAGUAUCUCCGAAGAGUUCCUUUCCAAUCCCG
rnacentral:lncRNA from 1 species